AGAACAAAUAUAUUAUUGUAACUUUUUAAUACAUUUUUAUACACCUUUUAUGUAAUCUUAUAGACAGCUUAAUCAUGGUAACUUUUACAUAAAGCAGUGCAGACUGGCCUGCCCUGGUGCAAUCAGAAUAUCCAAUUCCAGUCUUCACUCGUAUUAAAGCCUUAGCCUUUAGCAUACGUCCUAAUGAUCGAUCCGAUCCACAUAGCCAUUGGCAGUUCAGUUCUCCGAUCCUCUACCGCAGCAGCGUAGGCAAAGUAGGAGGCAAGGAUCAAUGGCGCCGCCGCGGAUCUCCUUCCUGGAGCUCUGCCUCUCCUUCCUCUGCUUCGUGGUCUUCUACUACUUCCACAUGAGAUCCAAGCGGAAGAACCCUUUCGUGCCGCUGGACUGGCCGCUGGUGGGCAUGCUCCCGGCCCUCCUCGGCAACCUCCACCACCUCCACGACUGGAUCACCUCCCUCCUGGUCGCCAGCCAGCUCAGCUUCCUCUUCACAGGCCCGCCGCGCUCCGGCAUGCAGUUCUUCGUCACCGCCGACCCCGCCAACGUCCGCCACGUCUUCACCUCCAACUUCGCCAACUACCCCAAGGGCCCCGAGUUCGAGGAGAUCUUCGACGUCCUCGGCGGCGGCAUCUUCAACGCCGACGGCGAGUCGUGGCGCCGGCAGCGCGCCAAGGCGCAGCUGCUCAUGUCCAGCGCCCCGUUCCGGGCCCUGGUGUCGCGGUACAGCCGCGCCAAGGUGGACACCGCCCUGCUCCCGCUGCUCUCGCACAUGGCCGCCACCGGGGAGGCGUUCGACCUCCAGGACGUGUUCCUCCGGCUGACGUUCGACACCACGACGACGCUGGUGUUCGGCGUCGACCCCGGGUGCCUGUCCGUCGGCCUCCCCGAGGUGCCGUUCGCGCGCGCCAUGGACGACGCCAUGGGCGUGCUCCUCCUCCGCCACGUCGUCCCGAUGACGUGGUGGAAGCUGGCGCGGAGGCUCCGGAUCGGGCACGAGCGCAAGAUGGCGGAGGCGUGGCGCACCAUCGACCAGUUCGUCGCCGACACGAUCGCCAAGCGGCGGGCCGAGAAGGCGAGGCACGGCAACGGGCAGGUCUCGGCGGACCUGCUCUCGUCCUACAUCAACGACGACGAGGACGAGGAAGGCGGCGUGGACGCGUUCCUGCGCGACACGACCAUCAACCUCAUGCUGGCCGGCCGCGACACGACGGGCUCGGCGCUGUCCUGGUUCUUCUACCUCCUGACGCGGAACCCGCGCGUGGUGGGCAAGAUACGGCAGGAGCUGGAGUGCGUCAAGAGCAAGAGCAGCGGCAGCGGCGGCGGCAUGGCGAGCUUCGACCCGGACGAGCUGAGCCGGCUGACGUACCUGCACGCGGCGCUGUGCGAGUCGCUGAGGCUGUACCCGCCCGUGCCGCAGGAGCUCAAGGAGGCGGCGGCGGCGGACGUGCUGCCGUGCGGGCACGAGGUGCGGGCCGGGGACAAGAUCCUGGUGUCUCUGUACGCGAUGGGAAGGAUGGAGGAGGUGUGGGGCAGCGACUGCCGGGAGUUCAGGCCGGAGCGGUGGAUCCCGGAGUUGGAGGACGGGCGCAGGGUGGUGCAGGUGCGGUACGUGCCGUCGUACAAGUUCAUGUCGUUCAACUCGGGGCCCCGGACCUGCCUCGGCAAGGACAUGGCGUUCGUGCAGCUGAAGGCGGCGGCGGCCGCCGUGGUCAGCAACUUCGACGUGGAGGCGGUGCCGGGGCACGUCGUGGAGCCCAAGCUGUCCAUCAUACUUCACAUGAAGAAUGGCUUUAUGGCCACGGUCAAGAGGAGGCGCCAGACGUUUGCUUAGCUUCGACGUACGUACGUACGGUCCAUUAUUAUCUGUGGUAAACAUGAGAUCACACAGUCGGUACGUACGUUAGCUCGCUCACAUGUAUGUACCAGCAGGUGCAAGUACACGUGGUCGUCGUGGCAUGUACGUGUACGACACUCCGUCCGCCGUUGAAAGCAAUGUUUUCCCCCUUAUGUUGCUCCUCUUCAGGUCUCUAUGGAUGACAUUGCCCCGAUGAUAAGAUGAGUAACCGCUAUGACAACAUGGGGUGCACAACAUCGAAUGAUUUUAUUUGUAGUUUGCCAUGUGUUUUGACAGAUUAGUCCAUGCGGCGGAGGCUAGACAACAUGCACCGGAGGUUGAGGCUGUUGGAGCAACAAAUAGAGACGCUGCCGAGGCCCAAAUUGGCAAAACCACCGACAAUGUGCUGAUUUUUAUCUAUUACUUUUCUUGAAAACAUGUAUACAAAAUGGCCCACCCCUGAUUACUGCGCAAACAUGUUCAACAGAAUGCAACAUAAUCAAUGCUUUUAUAAUUAAGUUUUUAAUCUAAUUUUUAAAAUAUUUUAAGUUUGGUUC